AUUGUCCCCUAGGGACAUUGCAGGUGUGGCUACUGUGCCACGUGUGUUUCUGUAGGUGGCAGAGAGGAGAGGGAACAUCUAACUCUUAGUGUUCUGUCCUGUGAACAUCUAAACGAUUUGUAGCCUAACACU